UAUUGGUAGGCGGCUGGCCGAGCUAGCUAGCUGCCGCCAGUCGUCAGCCACAACCACUACCACCAGACCGGAGGAAAGAGAGACGUACGUACGCACCGGCGAGUCAUUGGCCGGCCUCGGCGCGGGCUGACGUACUUGCGUCUCUCUGCCUCGCAAUUUGCAUUUGUAAUUCCGGCUGCGUGGUGCAUGCUUGCUUCCUUCGCGGGAGAGAUAUCGACGUCUCAACCAUCUCUCCGUUUUUCUUCUCCAUGGUUGCCGCCUAUUAAUUCAGCUCCAUCUUCCAUUCCGAUGGCAACCAGUCAAGUCAAGGUUUUCGAUCUCCUGGGUUUACAUUUGGGAUAUUGGGUCCAUGGAAGGAGGCAGGCUGCUAUAUAUACGAUGGUGUGUUUAAUUCGCAUCCCGGAGAGCUAGCUAUGCUUGCUUGCUUGCCUCUCCGAGGAGGAUUACUGGCUUGUAGAGUGCGAUGUUGGCAUGGUUCAAUCAACAAUCGAGUGGUCUCUGCAUAGCUUCCUUGCUAGCGUGGUGGCAUGCUGCUUUGCUUCAUCUGAUUGAGCCGUGCCAAUAUCGCAAGCUUCCUGCCUAGCGCGCGGCCUAUGCUGUGAGGAAAUACUUGCUUCUUAAUAAAGGUUUGAAUGCUACAUGAUUUUUCUUACAGUAGUAUUUCCUAGCACGGCAUUUCGAAGGAAAUUCUCCACCCAUUCAGAUUUCUUACAAAUAAUCCUUUCUUUUUCAUGUUGUUCCAUCAAACAAUCUUCGGUAAAAAAAAAAAUCCAGUGAUCAUGACACUACCUGGUUUUAUCUAUUUAUAUGCAUCUUUGACAUCUUGUGUAUCAAAGAGGCAUACCUAGGAUCCUUGGUGUGGGCUACCCUCCAUUCCACAGUUCAUUUCAUAUAUGUUUUUAGAACUCGUGGGGCACCUCUUUCCCGCAUCUCCCAAUGUUAAUUCUAAUAGAUUGUGCUGCUUCCCAAUAUAAUCUAUGGCAAUGCAUGAGGUUAUUAUUUUCGUAA